rnacentral:other from 1 species
UUUACCCUGCGGUGUUCGGGCGGGGGCGCAAAUCUCUUGGGUCAAACCUCAGAAAAGGGAUUCCAUAUUUUCAGGUUGAAUUGUUCUUUUUAUUAAGAGCAGGAUGCCUUUAAGAGGGAUCCCACUUGAACCCUGGAGUUCAAGAGAUUUUUCCUCAAGCGGCAUCGCGGGGUUUUU